rnacentral:tRNA from 1 species
UGCGGGACUUCGGAAACCGCAGGCUCAUAACCUGAAGGUCGUAGGUUCAAAUCCUACCCCCGCAACCA